rnacentral:lncRNA from 1 species
GGCCAAACGACCACGAAUUUGAGGGGAAAGAGAUGGGGAACGGAGAGAGGAGCUCACAUCGAGCCUGUAGGUGAGCAAAGCGGGCUCGGGGAGGUUCCGAUGAGGCCGAAUCGAAGACGGCAAGCAGCGGGGCGGAGGUUGAAGAUGACCUCGAUCCGGUCGAUGUGGGGGCUCCCGGCUUGACCUCGUGGGCGAGGAAGACGAAGUAGACGACAGCGGUUCCGCCGGACCUCCCAGCUCGGCGUGGGGGGCGAUGAUGGCCGCGAGGUCGACGGCAACAGCGGCAACGGAGGCGUUCGGGAGUGGGGCGAAACUGGAGAGGGGAUCGCCUGGGAGAGGGGGGGAGUGGAUGAGAGCGGGAGUGAGGCCAGGGAGGAACCGAGGCGCCAGGGGGCGGCCUUAUCUUCCCAUCGGUGGUGUACGGGGCGCGGUGCCGGUCCGGCGGGGACGAGCGGGAGCCCCGUCCCGGUCGGUCGUACAGGGAAAGAGAGGGAGAUGACCUGGGGCAGGGUUGGGCCGGUCAGUCUAGUUGGGCUACCUUCGCCUUUCGGGCCAAGAGGCCCAGGGGGUCCUUUUCUUUUCUUUUCGCCUUUUCUCCUUUUAGGUUUCUGUUUUCUUUUUGUUUUCUGUAAAACAGAGAUAGAGGGAAAAGUUUGGGCUACCAAAAUACUUUGAAAAUUGUGGGACUAGGCCACUUAAUUUCUUUGUAUUGUUUGGCACUGACAUAAAAAGUUUGAGGGGCAACUAAAUUCAUUUGGAUUUUUCACAAGUAAAAUAGCAUCUUAAAAUGCUAAAACGGCACUGUUUUAUUUGCUAUAGUCCAUCUUAACUUGGAGGUGAUGUUGUUUUCCUUAACAAUCAUUUGUUAAGGAAUUUUGGCUAAAUGAUGAACUAAUUUGCAGCAACUUUUAUGCAACUCCAAAUUUCACUUGCAAAUUCCAUUUGCUUUGAAAGUGGAAUUUUCAAAGGAUAUCUGAAUCAAAGGGGGAUCACGCACUGUUUAGUAAAAUGAUUAGCUUAAUCACAGAGGGUUACUGUAGCAUGACACUGGGGGUGUUACAAAUCUCCUCCACUACAAGAAAUCUCGUCCCGAGAUUUAAGUGGGGAAGAAAAGAGUAACUUCGGGAGAACUGACCCUUAUGGGUUUAAUUGUCUAGUGAACAAUGCAGGUAAUGUGACAGAAGUAUCUCUCGAGUUGAAAUUUAAGAAUAACAUCGAGAGCAAAAUAUGAAGGUACAAUAAGAAGUUUCAAGCGGAUGGACAAUCGAUCGAUACCUGAACAGAGUGUGAGAAGGGGUUCAUAGCAUCAGGAAUAGAUCAUCCCUCGGGGGGGUGGCUCGUGACAUGAUACGAAGCCAAAUGCAAGAAUGUUUCGGAAUCAAAGAUAUACAGGAGAGUCAGGUUUCGAUCGUGUGGAACUAUGGGUUAUGGGCCCACCAUGUGGGUUAAAAGCAGGAAGGCGCUAAAAUUUUGCACGGCCUUGAUAGCAAGGCAGGUCAGAGGAUAGCCUGCCAAUUAUGUUGGCAACAGCGUUGGUACCAAGGGCGAGGGACGAAGAGAACCAUUUUCCUGCUCGUAAUACGAGGCAGACCAAUAGGCAAAGUUCUCGUCCAUCAGUGGUUACCGGAAUGUCAUCAACAAUAGUAACAGGGUCUUACUGAUAGAGUUGUACACCGAGGUGCUUACUUAAGCAGGGAUUUAUCUAUGCUCAGACAAGUUAGAUGACAAGAAAGGUGAAACAAAACAAUGGAAAGGAAAAUGUGAUUAAUAUGAUAACCAUACCAAUGGAAAGGAAAGAUGUUUAUACCCAAGUGUUAGAGUAUAACUUUCCCAAGGAAAGGCAGAGCAUGAUAGGGCUCCAAGUAUUAAGCCGUUUAGACAAAGGGGCAAGGAAUUUAUGAGGUUUACCCAUACAACGGUGUUUGGAUAAUUGAUCAAGAACAGUUAGCAUUGCGCUCCCAAUGUUCUUGUUGAUGAUCGGAGUACCACAAACAUGCUUCGGGAUAGUGUUGACAUGGUUAUCGGGGAAAGGACAGACUUCGGAUACACAAAGGAUCCAUCAGAACAACUUAUAAAAUAAGUCAUACAAUUUUAGCAAGGAAAAGAUGAGGAUGGGGCCCACGGGCUCAGCAACAAUUCAUCGAGGGGGCAAGGAUGGUAUUUCUCAUCAUGAAUUCGGUUGAUAUCCUAGAAAAGUUUGGAAUGAUGAUGAUGAUCAUGACACAUUUGUCGAGAGGUUUCAUGAAGAUGUAAUCGAUCAACGGCGACAUUAAGCAAAAGAAAUGAUGAAGCAUAAGGUAAAUUGAACCACGAGUACGACACAAACUCGAAAGCAAGCUUGCUGUUCAUGGCAAAAUGGUAUGACGAGGAAGAUCGACAUAAGCUUAGCUCGUCGUCAAAAAUUGUGCUCCGGAAAGGACCUGGUAGCACAGUUAAAAUUUAGCAUGAUAAUGAUAUAACCGAUCAAGCUAGGAAUGAUGUGAUGGAGUAUCCUUCCAAUGAGAAUUCACAAGUGGUAGUGCAAUGACACAAUAUACUUGAGAUAACAAGGGGCAAUACUUGAGGUAGAUCAAAAAUAGAGGUUAGACAUAUGAAAUGAUCUGCACAAGACAAGUAUUUUAACUUGUCCGGGAAAUGGAGUUAAGGAGAAACUAUGGUCGGAACCACGGUUACGAAUGAUCAAACCACCGAUACAAGAUGAACUUAUAACAAGGGGUAGUCAUUUUUACGAGUAGCUUCCACGAUAAGUUCUACAUCGGGUCCAUGGGCAUGAACACAAGGGUUCAAGGUCGACUCCCACUUCUUCAAUGCAUAACCUUUCAUUCACUCCUCGUUUUUCAAAGGAAAUGUAGUGCAGAUGAUUUAUCUGGCGAAGUACCAGAAGAGUAAGACUCGUGAGAACUCUCGGGUUCACUCGGAUUACGGAAGGCAUAAGUUUAACCCAUCGGGGCAUUUUUUACGAAUCUAUACAACCAUCAACCAAGCAAAAGAUAUGAGUUCAAAAGCAGAGUAUCGAAGUCAAAGCAGAUGAUACAAUAUACCGAAGGUAUUGUGUAUCAGGGAAAAACUGAUAAGAUUUUGGAUGUGAAGGACACUGUCGGAUAACGACCCAGCAAUGGAUCUGGCGAUUCACGACAGAGUUGAUGUGAGUAUCGGUAAUCAACCAGAUGAAGAAGGGGAUGCAAAGGCAUCGUCUUAUAUAAACGUCUGAAUGAUUCGAUGCUUGGGUACACAGGAAUUAUGAUUUCAAGACGAAGGAUCAGAAGCAGAGGCUCUGAUCAAAAGAUGAGUAAGUUGAAUAGACUUAGAGGUGCACCCGAUCAAAUCUUGAUUGGGCAAGAACCAGCUCAUAUUUGAAACAAUGUCUAAGCCGGAAAGAAAAUUUCCAAGGAUUAAUUGAUGAUCGUGUGCAUUCUCACACAUGUUGAAUCAAUAGGAUCAGAAUGUUAAUCCCAAAGGAUUUUAACGAAUAUCGCUAGACAAAUGGAAUUAACCAGAAAGCAAGUAUGCAAGAAUUCCAAGAGCAACAGGUUGUAGGGGAUUUUCGGAAGAUCAAAUAGUAUUUCGAAGAAUUUUGUGAAUCACACGAACAACUGAGGAUGAACUGAUCCUCGGUGAGUGCGAGGAAUUAUUCGAGGGGGGGUAUUCAUGGGGCAAAGAACUGCAAGGCAGUAAGCUCAAAGGAUUCUCGAAACAAUAGAGAAUUUCGGGGCAUCUUGUAAUAUCAGAAGCAACUAGGGAUGAAGGUACAAACGGCAAGGAUGUUAUUCAAGGGGAUUAUCGGUGGUCAGGAACUGCAAGGCAGUUGGUACAGGGUCUCGAGAAACAUCGAGGAGUAUCCGCAGAACCUUCUGGCGAAGCAAGCCAUCAUCGAUAAUGUCGAGGCUCUCCGGGAGGAAGUGGGUACGAGAACCUAAUGUCAGAGUUUAGUAAAAUGGUUAACCCGAAUAGAAGAGAGAUCAGAGUCCCAGAGUAUAGACGAGGAAUAAAAGAUCCUAAUACCACCCAAUGGCGACGUGGGCCCGUAAGCCACACAGCCAAUGUUAGUAAAAGUUUUUCAGUGACUAGACUCAACUUCGGCCAAGGAGUUGGAAAGGGGGCUACCUACAGGCAGUCGGCUCUGAUACCAACUUGUGACGCCCUCGAUUCAAUCGUACACUAAUCAUGCACGCAAAUGUGUACGACCAAGAUCAAGGACUCACGGGAAGAUAUCACAACACAACUCUAGACACAAAUUAAAAUAAUACAAGCUUUAUAUUACAAGCCAUGGGCCUCGGGGGCUCGAAUACAUAUGCUCGAAUACACAAGAGUCAGCGGAAGCAACAAUAUCUGAGUACAGACAUAAGUUAGACAAGUUUGCCUUAAGAAGGCUAGCACAAAAGCAUCUACGAUCGAAAAGGCAAGGCCUCCUGCCUGGGAGCCUCCUAACUGCUCCUGGUCAUUGGCGUCCUCCACGUAGUAGUAGGCACCCUCGGGGUUGUGGUAGUCGUCGUCAAAGGUGGCGUCUGGAUCCUGGGCUCCAACAUCUCUGGUUGCAUCAACCGGAAAGAAGAAGAAAGGGGGAAAAGGGGGAGCAAAGCAACCGUGAGUACUCAUCCAAAGUACUCACAAGCAAGGAUCUACCCUACAUAUGCAACAUUAUCAAAGAGGGGUUGUAUAUGUGGACUGGGCUGCAGAAAUGCCAGAAUAGAGAGAAGGCCUAGUCCUAUCGAAGACUAGCAUCUUCUGGAAACCACCAUCUUGCAGCAAACAAGAGGGAGUAGAGUAGCAUAAAGUAAAGUGGUAGUAGUGUUAUCAACCUCGGCCAGAGAUCCUUUCUCGACUCCCUGCGAGAAAGCAAUCCCAGAGCCAUACUAUCCAGUUAUCACCUCAUCACAAUCCAAUUCUCAUCACAAGUAUCCAGUUCUAGUUGUAUCGAUCGGGAUACAACUCCAAGUGUCCGUUACCGUAGGACACGCUAUCGAUAGAUGUUUUCUUCCCUGCAGGGGUGCACCAACUUACCCACCACGCUCGCUUAACUCCGGCCGGACACACUUUCCAGGGUCAUGCCCGGCCUCGGCCAAACAAUAUGCCGCAACCCGAGCUAGGCUUAAUAGAGAGGCCAGCACGCCGGACUAAACCUAUGCCCCCAGGGGUCAUGGGCCAUCUCCCCGGGAACUCCUGCAUGUUGCAAGGGCGGCCGGUGAGCAGACCUAGCUACCUCCUUCAACAAGGCAGGCGCUUACGCAGUCCAACCCAGCACGCGUCGCUCAGUCGCUGACGUCUAUUAAGCUUCGGCGGAUGUAUACGACGUAGAACGCCCAUACUAUGCCCACGUGAUGGUUAGUGCUAUCAGGCCAGAGGCCCCUCGGAUCAAAUAUCCAAAUCAUAGUGGAUUAGGAACGCGCGGUAACAAGCAGAGACUCACGAAAGAUGUGACCCCGUUGCCCCGUCUCGAGGACUUGCGGCAAGGGCUACGAAUGCCCGGCCACGCCUCGUAAUUAUCUCGCGGGCACCCUCCAGGUCAACCCGACUCCACAUCACUCGCAAUUAAGCUCGCGCGGGUACCCCUCAGGGUCGACCGUCUUUCCAAGUAACAGUGGUAAAGUCCAAGUAUCCGUGUGUCCAAACAUUAAGGGGAAAACCCGAGGAAUCACCCCCGGUGAAUUCCACUCGAUGUAAUCAUCAAGGUGAACGUAAGAGGAUCCACCCUCGAGGUUCACACUUGAGGGGUUGCACGACAGAGCCGUAUCGGAAGUGGUUAAGGAGGAAAUCACCCUCGAUGACCACGACCGAAUAGCUACACUACAGGUUAACAUCAGAAGUGCUGUAGAGGUCUCACCCUCGGCACUCAAUAGUAACACUGCAGAGUCGAGCAACAAAGGGGCGUGAUGUGACGUGAGGUGUCGGGUCCUGGUCUUCGAUCCCGUUGAUCGGGCCUUCUGAUAAUCCAGCGGGGCAGUCGAGUCAAGUGGGGGGGGGGUCACUGAUGGGUCUCUAACCAACCUAUACUAAGUAGUAUAGGAUAAGCAGGUAAGGUACAACAACAGAUACAAAAGCAGGCUAUGCAUCAGAAUAGGAGCAAUCAAUAACAGUAGCAAAAUCUAAUGCAAGCAUAAAAGAAUGGAAUGGGCGAUAUCGGGAUGAUCAAAGGGGGGGCUUGCCUGAUUGCUCUGGCAAGGAGGGGUCGUCGUCGACGUAGUCGAUCACAGGGGCAACAUCGGUCUCGGGGUCUACCGGAGAGAAGAGGGGGAAGAAACAGUAAAUAUAAAGCAAACAUAGCAUCACAAAGCAUAACGUGGCAAUAAGCUGUGCCGGGUGUGACCUAACAUAUGGCUACACGAUAUAGGUGAAGGGGGAAUUCAACCGGGAAUGUUUUCCCGGUUCUGGACCUGUGUCAGACAGAUGACCGGAGGGGGAAUGUUCCAAGUUCAGAUAGUUAGAGGCAUCUGAUAGGUAAACGGACCAUGUAUUCGGAUUCACCUCGUCGUUCUGAGCAACUUUCAUGUAGAAAACAUUUUCAUCCGUGAUACUGUUUAUUUUCUAUGAAUUUUCAAAGUUUUAAAACAUUUUCUGGAUUUCUGGAAUAUAUCUAAAUUCGAAUUUAAAUAGUGCAUUACUUUUUAUACACACACACAGCUAGCCUAUUAGAAUGACAGGUGGGGUCCAGUGGCUGAGUCAGCAUACAGAGUCAGCAAGUCCACAGUCAAUGUUUGACCUGGUCAAAGUGUGAAUAGUGGCCAUGGAGCCUACUUGUCAUUGACUACUAUUUUAACUAAAGGGGGAUAUAGUGUGAGGGACCACAUGUCAGAAACACAUUAGGCUAUUUAACAUAAGAAGUAGCAGCCCUAAACUAAUCUAAUUAGCACUAACUAAUCUGGAUAGGGCCGGCCUCAUACCCAGAAUACACGCACGCACACCACACAAGGCCAUGGCAGAGAGUCAGCCGGCCACCAGGCCGUGCCCACGCACGGGGGCACCUAGGGGCGCCGGUGGCUGAACCUGCAACGGCAAUAGCAUGCGGCGGUGCUAGCAGCACGAUAACAGGCAGCAUGAAGUGGCACUAGUAGGUGCAAGCAGUAGAGCAGAAGCAGCAGCGGCGACUACUCGCGGGAGUAGCGGCGGCAGCUGCUGUGGCUUCCAGCAGGAGCGGCAAGGCAGGUGUGGGCUGGCGCGCGCUGGGCGACCAAUGCCGCGGCCCGACGCGGCCAGAGGCCUGCAAGCGCGGCUAGGGGCGCGUCAAUGGAGCAGCGGACAGGGGAGCGCGGGCGCGCGAAGCCGAGCUCCCUGUCAGGGCGGCCAACGUGUGGGGCGGCCAAACGACCACGAAUUUGAGGGGAAAGAGAUGGGGAACGGAGAGAGGAGCUCACAUCGAGCCUGUAGGUGAGCAAAGCGGGCUCGGGGAGGUUCCGAUGAGGCCGAAUCGAAGACGACAAGCAGCGGGGCGAAGGUUGAAGAUGACCUCGAUCCGGUCGAUGUGGGGGCUCCCGGCUUGACCUCGUGGGCGAGGAAGACGAAGUAGACGACAGCGGUUCCGCCGGACCUCCCAGCUCGGCGUGGGGGGCGAUGAUGGCCGCGAGGUCGACGGUAACAGCGGCAACGGAGGCGUUCGGGAGUGGGGCGAAACUGGAGAGGGGAUCGCCUGGGAGAGGGGGGGAGUGGAUGAGAGCGGGAGUGAGGCCAGGGAGGAACCGAGGCGCCAGGGGGCGGCCUUAUCUUCCCAUCGGUGGUGUACGGGGCGCGGUGCCGGUCCGGCGGGGACG